GCCUCCCCACCCCGGUCGGCAGUGAGGCGGCGACCGAGCCCGGCUGCGGAUCGCAGAGCCCGCCGCGGCGCCCGCCGCCCUCCCGCCCGGCUCCGAGCCCUCGUCCAGCCGCCCUCCAGAGCCUCGCCUUUCUCCCGCCCGGCCAGAUGAUGAACUUUCUGCGGCGCAGGCUCUCGGACAGCAGCUUCAUCGCCAACCUGCCCAAUGGCUACAUGACGGACCUGCAGCGGCCGGACCCGCAGCAGCCGCCGCCGCCGCCGCCCUCGGCCUCCUCGGCGCCCGCCUCGGGCUCCCCGGCCGCGGAGCGCCGGCAGCCGCCGCAGUCGGCGCCCCCCCAGCAGCAGCCGCCGCCGCCGCAGCAGUCGGCGGGCAGCAGCUUCUUCAGCUCCCUGUCCAACGCCGUGAAGCAGACGGCGGCCUCGGCCGGGUUGGUGGACCCCACCUCCGCCUCGUCGGCCGCCGGCAGAAAGUUCAAGCUGCUGCUGGUCGUCGACGAGCCGCACACGGACUGGGCCAAGGCUUUUCGUGGAAAAAAGGUCCAUGGAGAAUAUGACAUUAAGGUUGAACAGGCAGAAUUCUCAGAAAUCAACUUGAUAGCCCAUGCUGAUGGCAAUUAUGCAGUAGAUAUCCAAGUAUUUCGGAAUGGCACUAAAGUUGUCAGGUCAUUCAAACCUGAUUUUGUCCUCGUUCGGCAACAUUCAUUCAGUAUGGCAGAAAAUGAAGAUUUCCGAAACUUGAUCAUUGGCCUGCAGUAUGCAGGCAUCCCCAGUGUCAACUCCUUGGAAUCAAUCUAUAACUUCUGUGACAAACCAUGGGUGUUUGCCCAGCUGGUGUCUGUCUACAAAACUCUGGGUCCGGAGAAGUUCCCGUUAAUUGAGCAAACGUUCUAUCCAAACCACAAGGAAAUGCUAACAAUGCCGACUUUUCCUGUUGUUGUGAAGAUUGGACAUGCUCAUUCAGGCAUGGGAAAGAUCAAGGUAGACAACCACUACGAUUUUCAGGACAUAGCCAGCGUGGUAGCACUUACUCAGACCUACGCCACUACUGAACCGUUCAUAGACUCCAAAUAUGACAUCAGGAUCCAAAAGAUAGGCAGUAACUACAAAGCAUACAUGAGGACUUCCAUAUCUGGAAACUGGAAGACAAACACAGGCUCUGCAAUGUUGGAACAAAUUGCUAUGUCAGAUAAGUACAAGCUUUGGGUUGACACCUGUUCUGAAAUAUUUGGUGGUUUGGACAUCUGUGCUGUUAAAGCUGUGCAUGGAAAGGAUGGAAAAGAUUAUAUUUUUGAGGUAAUGGACUGUGCAAUGCCUCUGAUCGGUGAGCAUCAGAUCGAAGACAGGCAACAUAUAACUGAAUUAGUUGUAAGCAAAAUGAACCAAAUGUUGUCCAAAACUCCUAUACCAUCUCCUCAGAGACCCACUGCCACUCAGCAGCCUCAGUGGAGUGUCUGGGAAGAAUACAUGCAUGAUCUCCCUGCAGAUAAGCUGAGUAAAGCUUGAUAACAGAAAGAGCUCCCAAAAUAUUUCAUAGAAGAGAAAAAACUGCUUAUGUCACCCAUAAGCAGUGUGACAGACUCCAGCAUCAGGACCGCGAUGAUCAGAAUAACUUAUUGUUUGUAGGACAGAAGCAGACAAUGUCUUCAAGAAUUCUGAGACUCCAUGGUGACUCACCUCAAGAACAAAGAAAAUGUACUUAAUUCUUAAGUAAUCAAGAGCAUUCCGAUGUAGAGUAUAUGUUCUCAGUAGAUUCUUCUGAGAAACAGCUUCCAUUUCUCACAUUUUUGGGAGUCUUCAAGAAGAUGUCUUCAAUCUGUUAUGUAGCAAAACUCAGUCUUUCAAAAUUAAAACGAGGAAUGAUCCUAUCACUAUGGAACACGCAAGUGUUGCCACAUAAACAGAUACAAACAUAGAGUCUAAGUUAGAUCUCUUUGUUUGGUCUUAGUGCUAUAAUUACAAUCAUAUAAAAACCUCUAUGUUUUUUCUAUUUCGUCAUAUUUUUCAUCUAUUUCUACUGAUUCUACUGAUUUUGCUUAUUUAAGCUGAACCUAAUAGAAUCAUCUUUUCUUGGAGGUUUUUCCUUCGCCUCCUUUCCUUUCCCCACUGUGCUGGGUGUUUCCCUUCUACUUUUGUGUUAUCAUUCUCUGUCGGCACUUGACUUUUUAAAUUUGAUUUCUCUGAAUUCUAAGUCAUAACCUGUUAGGCAAAGCCAUCUGGCUUUAUUCCACAUUUAACUUACAAGGAUUCUAUCUAUCUACCCAGUAGUCAUCACCAUAGUUUAUUGUGAAUAAGGACCACAUGCUAAAUAAGCAUUACAGGUUUUGAACAUGGGUAAUAACUACCAAGAGAAAUUACAGAACAAUCCAAAACAGUGCAACUCAUUUUCAGAUAUUCUUGAAUGAUCAGUUGGGAAAAAACAAGCAACCUCUCUGUUCCUCCACCACUCGUCUAGUGGUGGAUCAGUGCUUCAUCUGCCUAGCUGCCAGUAGUUCAAGCUUCUUUUCACCUGUUCAAAGAUUGUUCUCCAGUAUCUCCUAACUUGUAAGAGACUCAAGAAGGUUCUCAGAUUCCAACAAGUCACCAGCAGUGCCCACAUGUGGCUCUGUGCUUGUGCUGUAUCAGACAAAGCAAGGAAAGAAGCCCACACAACACUGGCAGACAGGUCUUACGUUCUGUUUGAGUUCUGAACUUCAGUCUUCUUUGGGGUAUGGCUCUUAGCUCACUGACUUGUCCUUUCCCAAGCCUUUUCCUGCUCCACCAUUCUGUAACACUGAUACAACAAUAUUCUGACAAACUACUCAUUUUAAGACCAGACGUGAGUUAGCUCCAUCUUUUUUCAGACCUUCUGUUUCAAAGCACAGAUUUCAAUUCUGAAUGGAUCCAGUAAUGAUGGAUCACUGUGACUCCAGGUUUUUACUCUUCCUGUCCAUGAAAGGAUCACUUGUCAUCUCAUAUUAAGAAGACCAGAGGAGCUGAUACAGCAUAGCAUCAGACAACAUCCCUGGGUCCCGAGCUUAGAACAUUCCUUACAGUUUCAAAUAAGAGCACAGGAUAUUGACACUAACAAGCUCUAAGCUACAGGUAUCUAUGUACACUGAGAAACAUUUAAGGAAGAUUAACUUUCCAGUAACUAGAUAGUCUUCUAGAUAUGCUGUACCACUUUCAUCUUCCUGUCCAUCUAUCUUACAGCUCUCUUUCUGUGGUAUAAAUAUGCACACUCAUUACAUUUCAGUUCCAGCUGCUUUAGCACACAGGGAGCUCUCUCCUAUCACAUAGUCCACAUUCCUUCUUUGUCUGUGGGGAGCAAUUUUUUACUGGGAAGAACUGCCUGACAGCUGCUUUGCAACAGCAUACUUUUAAUGAUCCCUUUUAGAAAACUGAAGUUGAAAUCUGGCUUCAUUAAGCAAUAGUUGCAAUAAAAUCAGAUUGCAUCCUUGUCCAUUAGAAUUACCAUCUGUCUCUGGAAUGGGACCAGUUAACUUCAACAAGUGUUGCUACUUGUUAAGAAACACUUUUUUUCUGACAAGUCGACAUCCUACAUUUUGUAUAGAAAUGUCAUGUUUUGUGGUAGUGAGAUAUUUCUUUUUUUCAGCAAAAUAAUAGAAAAUAGAUCUGGCAUAGGCAAUGUGAUGUCACCUGUUUCAUUGUCUAAGAGAAAAUAUUGAAGUGUGCCAUUAAAUAGCAGUGAAUCUACACUAGGAUAUUCUUUCUUCAGAGUAUGUGUAAAAAUACUCAGGAAGAAAACUCUUCUCUAGGAAGAAAUUAGUUAUCUAACAAUAGAAAGUACUUUGUAUACAAAACAUAAGCUAUAGUACUUUUUGAUGUUUAAAACCAAAACUUUUUCAGUGCAUGAUGUAAAUACUGUUCCAAGUAAAAAUUAAGCUGCAUAGCUUGUUUUCUCCUCUUAGCAGUCAUUUCCUUUCUCGUUCAGAGGAAGAUCUUACAGGUCUUUCAUUGAUAAUUCGGAAAGCUGGCUGAGCAACAACAAAAGCUGGUCUAAAGUUUUUAAUUCUGUAUCACAACUUCAAAAUGAAGAUGUUUUGUGCUGGCAUCAGUUUUGCUGAGAAUAUGUUUGGGGCAAGCUGAACACUGAAACUCCAAACAACUGUAAAAUGUGGGAGUGGGUUCUCCUUUCACUGGCCUCUUUGCACGAGGUGGUGAAAGUGGCUCCUUUCUGAGGUGUGCCUGACCACGCCUGUCUUACCAUUAGAAUCAGGCCUAUUUCACUGCCUGUCUCAGUCCACAAUGAAUAGCAAAAAGCUUUGUUGUCAUGUUAAGCUCCAAGGAAGCAUUUAUGAGUCACUUACACCACGUUCAUCCUGUAGAGAGUAAGGUCUGUUCUAGCAACUGGUGAGUACCCUUACCAUACACUGCACACUGAAGGUAGAAAACAGCAACAAGGUGCUAAGGAGUCUCUUAUUUUUUGAUUCUCCAUUUCACAAAGUCAAUUCAAGAUCUCAGUGUUUUGCUAAAUAAUACAGUAGGUGCUUAUUUACAACCCAGUUUUAUUCAGCUAAUGCCUGUUUCUUCUUGGUUCACAUUGUCCUUUAGUGCAGCUUGUUCCCUAUCUAGUGCUUUGCCAUUACAGUGCUGUAAAAAGAACUGUACUGCCUUCAAGCCUCUUUGGCUGAAUUAAGCCAGCUGAGUUCUUCCAAAUGCUCUAGCUAUGCACUCUUCCAUCUGCCUGCUCAGUUUAACAGUGCCUUUCUACAUCUGAUGAGCUUAUAUUCAUCUUUCUUUACCAGGGGUGAUGUUCUUCCAUUGUAAGGACUAA